rnacentral:rRNA from 1 species
CGCGUAGGCGGCUGGAUAAGUCAGAUGUGAAAGUCCAUGGCUCAACUGUGGAAGUGCAUUUGUAACUGUCCGGCUUGAGUAUCGGAGGGGAGUGUGGAAUUCCCGGUGUAGAGGUGAAAUUCGUAGAGAUCGGGAGGAACACCGGUGGCGAAGGCGACACUCUGGACGAAUACUGACGCUGAGGCGCGAAAGCGUGGGGAGCAAACAGGAUUAGAUACCCUGGUAGUCC